UAGAAUAUAGCAUUUAAUAUUGUGUUUAUUUUGACAUUUAAUCAAAUCAAGCUUUUUUAUACAGAACAUUUCAGACAUGGACUGCAAUGCAAUGUGCAUUACAGAACUCACAGGCAGCCAGUACAGAGACCUUAAAACCUAUGAAAUGUGUGCUCUCCGUCUGAUCUUGGUCAGUACCCGUGCUGCAGCAUUCUGUAUGUUCUGCAGUUGACCAAUGGCUUUCUUGGGUAGACCAGACAGGAGAGCAAUACAGUAGUCAAACCUGAAUGUAAUAAAAGCAUGGAUGAGUCUCUCUGUAUCAGCCUGAGAGAGAAACAUCCACACCUCAAAAUGUUCCUGGUAAAAAGCAAUUUUGGUCGCAUUCCUAAUGUGUGAUUCGAAAUUUACUUCAGAAUGUAAAAAUAACACUUAGGUUUAUUUACCUGGUGUUUUAUCUUUAUUGCCUGUGAAUUAAAAUAUGCUGCUAGAUUCUCACGCUGUACUUUGGCUCCAACAAUAAGUACCUAGGUUUUUGUCUUGAUUUAGCUGGAGGAAGUUAUUUAACUCACUAAAACAGUCUAAUAAUGUAUCCGUGGAGCUAGAAUCCUCUGGUGACACAGAAAUGUGAGGCUGUGUAUCAUCUGCGUAGCAGUGACAAUCAAUGCUGUGCUUUAAUAUAGGGUUUAUUAUGGCAUUUAAUAUAGGGUUUAUUAUGGCAUUUAAUAUAGGGUUUAUUAUGGCAUUUAAUAUAGGGGUUUAUUAUGGCAUUUAAUAUAGGGUUUAUUAUGGCAUUUAAUAUAGGGUUUAUUAUGGCAUUUAAUAUAGGGUUUAUUAUGGCAUUUAAUAUAUGGUUUAUUAUGGCAUUUAAUAUAGGGUUUAUCUCAUUUCAUAUUUACAGUACAUAGUUUAUUUGAAAAAGAAACACCAAGAGUGAAGAGGACAGAGAAUUUCAGCUACUUUCCAACAGUACAAACACAUAAAAACAACUGAACAAUACUUUCACACACAGAAAAACAGCCAGUAUUGUCACUUACAGCAUAAAAUAUAAGUGGUAUAAAAGUAUUAAAACAGAUUGUUCUCCUUUUGGCAAUCUGUCUUCAUCAUUAUCAAGCAUUUUAUCUAAACCAAUCCCUUGUCUUGCCAAUCUCUUACUGCUUAAUGAUGACUAACUUCACUGUACCUAACACCCAGGCAACCAAGUAUCAACAUAUGGACUCCAACAAUUAACGGUUUAAAAUCACUACUUUGAUAUUUGUACUCAAAUAAGCAGGUCAUGUGGGUGGAAAGGGGAGAGGUGGGUGGAUAAUGUAUUUGUAUAAUGUCUGUAGUUUUUUUCUCUCACAAAAUAAACAUGAACACAGAUGUGAAACUUGUAUUAGUCCCUCGGGACAAGACCUAUAAAAAGUCAUUUUAUUUCCCUGAUUUCCAAUCAUCUCUUCCUGUGUUGUAAGCUUAACCAAUAUGGUUAAUAAUACAACAAAACGGACCCUGGACCAAAGUGUUACUAAUCUUUUGAUUUAGUCAUUCCAUGACACGCUUGUUUCACAGCAAGCUACAUAAUAAUAAUAAGCAGCAAUGAAAACAUUGAUCAUGUCAAAUUCUUCACAUUAUUCAGAUAAUUAAAUUCAUAUUUAAAUGGUGAAAUGACUGCUGUACAUGAAAGCGAAUUAUCAACCUGAAUUAUGAACAUGAUUCAAAUGGGUAACACCAGGAACAUGCGGUAGAUGUAUGUAACAAGAGUUUCCAUGAUGGCUGUUAACUAUAGUAGUCCUGUAUCAUCUGCUUCUCUUCUUAGAAAUGUGAAUGCACCUGUAGUUAGUCAACUCUAUAAUAUACAGGCUGCUUUAGGUCUACUUUAUUUCUUGGGAUUUCUCUGGACUUCAUUUACUGCGUUCGGCUCAUGUUCAGUCCAUUGACCAGUCAUUUCUCCCAUCAUGCUGUUCUCCACUUCUUUCACUUCCUGCCUCGUUGCAUAAUGGUCACAGAAUAUGGUUCAGACAUGACAUUACAAUUCAUUGCUCAAUGCUGCUCCACAUUGCUACUUUGAACACAGGCAUUAUUUUAAGUUUAAGUUUGUCUUGUUGCAAGUCACCAUCCCUCCAUUUUGUCGUCCGUCAUUUGAGGAGAGAUUGUUGUAUCAGAGGGAGAAGAUGCUCCACACACUCAGUGUUCAUACAUGUUCAACUGCUGGGUCACGCUUCUUUCCUCUGUGUCUCUCUGCUUCUUCCAGGGAAAACAAAACAUGAAUCAAUCACACACAAGGACUGAAACUGCUCUAUUCAAUCACUAUUUAGGUGCAUCAAUAUCAGAUUGAAUGUGCAAGUUCGGUAUGAGGUUUGUUAGAAUUACAAAUAAAAAAGACUAAUAAGACUAACACCUUUGCAGUUUGCGCUCUGAUUUGUGCCCAGAUGCUGGCAUUUUUUCUAGAUCCAAGCAGCAUUAACACUCUGACUGAUAUCACAGUGGUAUAAUAAGGACAAGGGCUCACCGUUGACGUUUCCCGCCGGUGACAUCUAGUCAGUAAGAAGAUCACCAGCAGGACUCCCGCAACAAGCAUCACAACCACACUGACAGACACACCUGCUGCUACUGCUACUUUAUCAGGACUCUCCAAUGGACUCUCUCUAAUGUAUACUGGA
ensembl:lncRNA